rnacentral:rRNA from 1 species
AAAGAAAAUAACAAUGAUUCCCCCAGUAACGGCGAGCGAAGAGGGAUAAGCUCAAAUUUUAGAUCUGUUGGGUUCCACUUAACAGAGUUGUAUUUUGAAGAAACGUUUUCUGCAUCCAGGAAUAGCCUAAAUCCUUUGGGAUAAGGUAUCAUGGAGGGUGAGAAUCCCGUUCAUGGUUAAUCUUAAGGAAGCUCUACGAUACGUUUUCCAAGAGUCGAGUUGUUUGGGAUUGCAGCUCAAAAUGGGAGGUAAAUUUCUCCUAAGGCUAAAUAUUGACGAGAGACCGAUAGCAACAAGUACCGUGAGGGAAAGAUGAAAAGAACUUUGAAAAGAGAGUUAAACAGUACGUGAAAUUGUUGAAAGGGAAACGAUCGAAGUCAGUCAUACCAACGGGAAAUCAACCUUUUGAGCUCGGUCUCGUGGGUUUUGAAGAGUUUCAAAGCCCUUCGGAUUCGCGGAUUGGGAUCUCUUGGUGUACUUUUUCGUACGGUUAGUCAACAUCGGUUUUGGAUGUCAUAAAAUGACUGGAGGAAUGUAGCUUCGAUCUCGUACUGAAGUGUUAUAGCCUUUGGUAGAUGUGAUGUUUGAGACCGAGGAUUGCAACGGAUACCCUUCAGGGCUAUUCGUCUGAUCUCUGAUACGUUGCCUUGAUGUUGAAAGCUUGCUUAUGAUGUUAGGGUAUUACGGUCAAAAGGUUGGAACGGAUUAGAUUCGUUAAGGAUGUUGACGUAAUGACUGUAAACGACC